GGGCGGCCGCGCAGGAGGAGGCGCGCGCCCCGGGUCCCGAGCCCGCAGGCCUGAUCCUGCCAAAAGUUAAGAGCGAAGCAGCGGUUCCUCGGCCCCGCGGGGACAGCGCACCCGACUGCUUUGCCAGGGAGCGGAGAAAGGCACGCGCGGGAGAACCAGAAGCAAUAACUACAGAAGCCGAACGCCCUUGUGGCGGGCGGCCCCGCCUCUCCCCUCCGCCGGCCCCGGGGAUGAGGGCGAAGGUAGGGGUCGGAGGACGCCGCGGGCUGAGCCUGCCCUGGCGUCGGGAACGCCCAGAUCCCCGAGGCCCGGAGCCGCCCAGGGCGUCAGGCCUCCGGGCUGGGGUGGGGGAAGUUUUUCAGCGUCCGAGGCUCGGAGCCCGUUUUUGCAUCUUCCCGGGAGUCUGGGCUCCGGGGCCAACUUCACUCCCGGCUUCAGACCCGGGCAUCCCCGGGGCGCACUGGGCACGGAGGACAAGUGGAUGCGUGGGAGGUGGUGUCCACCCCGGUGCCCCUCUGAACUGGGAGCUCCGUGCUGCCACGGGGUUGUCCCAACCCGGGGCGGGGCGGGGGGUGCGGGGGGAGGAUUCGCGGAGUCCCCAGGUCACUCAGAACCCGGACCAGCUGUCGCUUUCAGGUUACUCCUAGAAGAGCGUCCCUGGGCAGGUGUCCAGGAGCCUCUGGGGGUAACAUUUGGGUGGGAAAGGGCGGCUCCAGGCCAGAAGGGUUCCCUCCUCCUUCACCCCUGGCCAAUGUCACCGUGCCCUGGAUCUGCGGAGUCGAGACGGAUUAACUGCGUGAAGCCGAGACGGGGCGCUGACCUCGCGGCUGGCCGCCAAACCCAGACAGCAGGCCCGCAGGCGACGGCCGUGGUCCCAUCGCCGGACUCUCCCUGGCCGGCGCUUGGCCUCUCCCCGUCGGUCCCGUGCAGGGGUUGAGGAUUAGCUGCGGGGAGCCCCUGACCUCCUGGAGGAGGAUGCACCGUGGGCCAAAUCCUCGUUGGAAAGUCUUUGCGUGGAGGCGCGGUGUGAGGGCGCGCCGAGCCUGGCGUGCCUGCCAGGUACCAGCGGGUGAGAGGCCCUCGGGGUGCAAAGGUGAACCAAACCGGGCCGCCGCAGGCACUGGGGACAAACUAGAAGACCCCAGGCCCCGGGGGGGCAAGCUGAGGGCCACAGUGGGGAACGCGGUCAGAAAUACCCGGGGUGGGCGGUGGAGGCCAGAGUGAAGUUUGAACUGCCUGCCGAAGGCCGCUUGAUCUUGAGCCCCUGGCGUUACCCUGCGCUGGGCCGCAACUGCGGUGGUGAUCGCGCCGGCCUCCAGUGUCCUCGGGACCGGCUAACGUGGCUUCCUGAGGCAGGGAGGGCCGCGGCCGGAGGACAGCAACUUCUCGUGAAGACAGUUGGACGCCUGAGCGAGCCCUGAGCCAGAAGUGAACUUGCGUGCACUGGCCUCCUUCUGUAGUCCGGGGCUUUCUCUCCGAAGCCCAAAAUACCCCAGAUCGUUGUUUGCUUUUUACCUUUUCUUGUAACUAGCCGUAUUUACGUACAUUCCCACUUGGAAUUUCCCCCUUUCAAAGUUGAUGGCUGUUUUGGUGUUUCCAGAGGCCUGUUAAAUGAAGUCAGGGGAUUUAUGAGUUGAAGUGACCAACACCCCCUCACCCCCAAGGUGGGUUGGGUUUGCUGGCCCUCUUUUUCCCCCAGCCAGUGCAGGGUACCAUGUGGUAUUAAAGAAAGAACCCCAGUGGCCUGUGACAGUGUCCUGGCGGAGUUGGGGCAGUGGCCUUCCUGGCUGCAGUCCUGGAGUGGAGCACAGGGCACCCUCUUCUGGAGUGGGCAGCCCCUAGGUCCUCAUCCCUGGUCACUUAGCAACAAAAUUCAAGCUCUAUCUUUAGAGUUCACCACUUCCUCCUUUCCUUCCUCAGAAAUUUGGGUGCAAAUAGCACUAAAUGGUUUAGCCUUUAAAGGUAAACUUCUGAAACAGCCUGCUCCAAAUAAGGACUCGUCAUUUGUGAGUGAUCGGACUCCAAAUCUAAACUGAUUAUUUUCUCUUUCAAAAAUGCACCCCUUGGGGCUUCCCUGGUGGCACAGUGGUUGAGAAUCCGCCUGCCAAUGCAGAGGACAUGGGUUCAUCCCUGGUCCGGGAAGACCCCACAUGCCGCGGAGCAACUAAGCCCUUGUGCCACAGCUACUGAGCCUGCGCUCUAGAACCUAUGAGCCACAACUACUGAGCCCGCAUGCCACAACUACUGAAGCCCGCGUGUGCGCCACAAUGAGAAGCCACUGCAAUGAGAAGCCCGUGCACCACAACAAAGAGAAGCCCCCGCUCGCCGCAACUAGAGAAAGCCCGUGCGCAGCAACGAAGACACAAUGCAGCCAAAAAUAAAUAAAUAAAUAAAUUUUUUUAAAUGCACCCCUUUUACCACAAAGACAAGAGAGUCUCAGUGUUGUAAAAGAACAUAAAAUUAGGCAUUUAGAUUUUUUUGUAAAGUCAACGUUGCAUAUUAUAUGUACAAAAUCUACAUAAGAAGGUGAAGGUAGCUUAUCAAAACUGCCAACACACUCAGGAUAACUCUUUUUUUAGAAUAACUCUUAAAUGAGUAGCAUUGUGCAAAACUGUAUUUUAUCCAGAACUGUUCAAUUUCAAUGAACUAUUUUAAUUUAUGAUUUUUAAGUGUUGUAUAUGUAUGGCAAUUAAGCAACUUAUUGAUUUAGUUGAAUAAUUUGUCUUUGAGCCAUUAAAAAAAAGAUUCACUACUUUAUAGUUCUCAAAGAGGCCACCUAACUGUAACACCAGGAAGAUCUUUCAAAAUUACAAGCAGUGUAUUUAAAGCUUGAAAACCAAAUGCACCUGUAAUGGCCUCCUCCCGCAAAUAUGUUUAGAAGGCAAAGUGCUGGGGGGGCAGGAUGGGGGACCUAACGGUGGAGCAAACUCAAACCCUCCCCACUGCUCACCAAAUAACACCCCACCCCUGGAUCCAAUGGCAGAGUGAUUUUAAACACUUCACAUUGUCUGGAAUUUAGCACACAAAUGACUGUUAACUUUCAUUAUUAUUAAAUUUAAAGUAUCCAUUCGACUUAUCAUAUAAACUGCUCUGCAGGAGCUGCUUCUCCAAAUGUGUUGCUCUAUUUGCCAGAGAAGUAGCUCACGUGAGGUGAAUGAGUAAUGCUUUUUAUUUUUUCUUUUGCAAGGCGGUGUAGCUGGGGAUAAAGAGCAGAUUGUGAUAUCAGACAGAACUGUCUUCCAAUUCCGUCUCCUCCACUGCUGAGUUGCAGCCAUAAUAGUUCUAAAUUUUGACUAUUACUGGGUAUACCAGUGUGUAUUUGACCAAUUUCCUAGUCUUGAUAUUUAGGACGUUCCCAGCAUUUUCUUACCGUAUCUGUAAAGAAAAAAAAUGUUGCUUGCCAUUCCAGUUCUACAAAAAUCAAGUCAUAAGCCACUGCAGUCACCCACUGACAGGGAAAUUCAGGAUGCGGGGGGGGGGGGGGGGGGGAGGAGGAAGCAUUCUGUUCUUUGGACACCUGCCCCUAGAUAGUUAAAAUACACAUCUAAAGAAAAAUUUCAAUGAUCCCAGAUUCUUGCACCUUCCCAUACAGAGAAAAGCACUAAAAUCAUUAAUUUUAGGAGGCUGUUCUUUGUGAUUAGCAGUGAUCUUUUGAUGUUCGACUCCAUUUUCUUUUCCAGCAAAAAAUUCGUAUAUAUUCAGUCUCCCCCCUUACCUCUUUCAAAGCAGUACCUUGGAGCUAUCUGAGAGGCUGUUUCCCAGACUGUAGUCCUCAGUAAGAUCCCCGAAUAAAACUUCACUUGCAACUUU